GACGAACGCUGGCGGCGUGCUUAACACAUGCAAGUCGAACGGAAAGGCCCUUCGGGGUACUCGAGUGGCGAACGGGUGAGUAACACGUGGGUGAUCUGCCCUGCACUUUGGGAUAAGCCUGGGAAACUGGGUCUAAUACCGAAUAUGAUCAUCGGCUUCAUGGUCGGUGGUGGAAAGCUUUUGCGGUGUGGGAUGGGCCCGCGGCCUAUCAGCUUGUUGGUGGGGUAAUGGCCUACCAAGGCGACGACGGGUAGCCGGCCUGAGAGGGUGACCGGCCACACUGGGACUGAGAUACGGCCCAGACUCCUACGGGAGGCAGCAGUGGGGAAUAUUGCACAAUGGGCGUAAGCCUGAUGCAGCGACGCCGCGUGAGGGAUGACGGCCUUCGGGUUGUAAACCUCUUUCAGCACAGACGAAGCGCAAGUGACGGUAUGUGCAGAAGAAGGACCGGCCAACUACGUG
rnacentral:rRNA from 1 species